GCCGGGCGCAGUGGCGCAUGCCUGUAGUCCCAGCUACUCGGGAGGCUGAGGUGGGAGGAUUGCUUGAGCCCAGGAGUUCUGGGCUGUAGUGCACCAUGCCGAUCAUGUGUCCACACUAAGCUCGGCAUCAAUAUGGUGACCUCCCAGGAGCGGGGGACCACCAGGUUGCCUAAGGAGGCGUGAAGCGGCCCAAGUCGGAAACGGAGCAGGUCAAAACUCCCGUGCUGAUCAGUAGUGGGAUCGCGCCUGUGAAUAGCCACUGCACUCCAGCCUGGGCAACAUAGCGAGACCCUGUCUCU
rnacentral:SRP_RNA from 1 species